UGCACAGCAAAGGAAACAAGAAUGUGAAGAGAGAAUCUCCAGAAUCAGAGAAAAUCUUUGCUAGUCAUUCUUCUAACAAAGGAUUAAUAUGUGGAAUAUGUAAAGAACAAAGUUAAUACCAAAAAAAAAAAAUUAAGAGAUGGACAAAUGAACUCAACAGGGAAAUGGAUACUUGAGAACGUUGUGGCAAAACAAGUCAAACUCAAAGUCAAGCAUGGUAUGCUUUCUCUCAUACAUGGAA